rnacentral:lncRNA from 1 species
ACUACAACUCCCAUCAGCCCUGGUGUAAUGUAAGUACAGUGGAGGCAUUAGUAGUAGUAGUAGAAGAAGUAGUAGUAGUAGUAGUUUUGGCAAAGAAACCUUGCUGUGAACAAGAUAAUGAAUUCGGUAUGUUCCCAGAACAAAAGGGAGCUAAUGCUGAUCAAAGACAGGAAGUAGAAGAUAAAGGGCAGAUCCACAUUUAAAGAACAUGGCUCCUCCUCAAAGAAUUCUUGAAACUGUAGUUUUCUCCUCCCAGAACUACAAAUCGCAUAUACUUACCAAGCCUCCACUACCAGGAUUCUUUAAGGGAAGUCAUGUGCUUUAAAUGUGUAUUGGAUGUGCUUUAAAUGUAUGGUGUGGAUCUGUCCAAAGACAGAAAGCGAGUGAGUGAAGCCAAGAAUCAACACAUGCUAUAGUAGAUUAGGUAAGAGAGGUUCAGAGUAAUUUUUCUUGUGUUUAGAUUGAUGGGAAAGAGAUUUUAAGUAGCUUCUUCAGCAAAUUCCCUGUAAGAUAAUGGGGAUCAACAGAGAAUACGCUGCCUUUAACAAAAGCUCCAGAACUUACUUCUGCACCUAUCCCAACCUCAUUCAUGCCUUCUCUCAGAAAAAUACUUGAAUUAUUAUGAUGCGUAUUCACAUACAGUCCUAUAACAAAGUGCUCAGGGUGGUUUACAAUAAAAAACAGGGAAAAAUACAAUUCAUACAAACUGAUCCUCAAGCCAUAAGCUGGAGUUCUUAGUUUUAAAUGGCUUCUGUAGUUGGUAAAGUUACAUUGGUUUAAAUUAAUUUGGUUGAAUCCAGACUUGAAUAAUGCUUACAGUAGACACAUCACAAUCAAUGGGAUUGUCAUGAUCCAGUCCAAGGAUUCAAAAUUAACUGACUUGUGGAAAGGUUGCUUGUCUUGCACCCCACUAAUAGCAUCACCAUGUAGAGAUAAUUACAGCAUUGCUAAAAAUUAAAAAUAUAAAUUCAACAAGCUAUUAUUUUAUUUGUUUAAAACAUCUGUGCCCUGCCUUUCCACAUUUGGCCAACCCCAUUUAUAAGAUUAAAAAUAACUCAAACACAAUUAAAACAAAUAACAAUUUUAAAUUAAUGUCAAUUAUUCAUAAAUAUUAGAUGAUUAUCUGAACAUUACUUCUGGCACCAGGUUCCAUAUGUAAAGCAACCACUUUCUCAACAGGCAACAUUAAAACAACUGGCAUUUUUAUUACCCUGAUGUUCCAUAUAGGUUACGAUCAUUAGCCAUUGUAUAUACUUACAGCAAUUGCCAAGACCUCAGUUUUGAAACUGGGCAAGAUUGUAUGAAUAUCCAAGAGCUUGUGACUUCGCUGUGGAUCUUUUCUUCAGGCUGGUUGUGUCGCUUGGUUGGCUUUUAAGACACAUUGGGAUUAGCCCAUCAAAAAACUCUUAACUAACGAUGACUUUGCUUUAAAUACAAACUCAAUUUAUCUUGAUUAGCCUUCAUCCCUGCGUUUAAGCCCUCCCCACUCGUGACAUCACAGGCCCUUCUCCCAGACCAUCUCUCAGGAGGGCUGUAAAAAAACAACACAUAAUUACUUACAAGUAGCACAUUCCACUGAGCUGAUAAACCUAUUUUAACAUUUAACCUGUUAAGCUGGUGUUAGUCUUUAAGGCAAUUGGUGCAUCCUCUGAAAAUCUGAAUCGUUCCUGAAAUUAUGCACUUGGCAACAGAAAAAUGAUCAGAAUUGUUCUGACUGUUAUCAGUCCACAAUUGAUUUUUUAAGAAGCUGUUUACUUCUGCCACAUGACAGGUCUGUUGCCCCAUAAUUACUUAUCCUGUUGGGCUGGAAAGAUUAAAGUGCUGUUAAGCACACUGUGAGGCUAACAGGCGGAUCAGAUGGUUAUACUGCUCAAGCUCACAGUUUACUCUUUAAUUCUCCCUGUCAGUUAGUUAACACCUCUCAGGCUGAACUGAGAUGCUAAGGGCCUCUUCACAAGUUAUCCAUUUCUUAGUGAGAUGUAGGGACAGGUCAAAUUACCUGUUCCAGGUAGCCUGACACAUUACAAUUAGAACUGGAGUGAUUAAUACUGACAACACCCCCUUGUCUGGUUUCAGAGAAGCACUCCCUUGCCAAGGACCUAUAACUGGAGGCUGCAGUCAGUUGAAGACAACUUGGCCCAGCCCACGCAAGGCUAACUCUGCCCUGAUCUCCCUUUUCUCAGUACAGUAUUCACUAACUGAAGUCUGGCUUUGACCUUCCCCAGAAAAGAGCUGCAUACCUUGUUAUAUGCCACUUCCUACUAUUACUGUACUUGCUCAAACUUCUUUUGCGUGCACCAGAUUUGCAUGGGAAUGAUGCUUACUGCUUCACUGUCUGUACCUUGGAUUUGUAAUCAAACAUUCUGUAAUGAGAAGAUUAAUCUACUGGGUCACCUGUUAUACCAGAUGAUGCUGAGCCUGCCCUCAAUUUUUGACAUCAUGUGCCCCAGACUCCCUAAAGCAGGGGAGGGAAAUGUCAGGCCUGGAAGCCAGAUUCAGCCCUCCAGACCUCUCUGCCUGGCAACGCCCCUCACUGGCUCUGCACCAUGCCCUCUUCAGGAGUUUUUACCUGGCUGGAAGUGCUGCUGAAAUGUCAUCAUGUCUAUUGCUUGGUCACUUGGAGGAUGGACAGGUGUUUGGGUGUAAAAUGUAAAUUACUGUAUGCG